UGGGUCAAGCGGCACCACCGUGGGGUCCAUCUGGUCGUUGGUGGACGGCCAAGGGCACCGCGCCUUGAGGUGCCCGGCGUAGGCGGGGUCGAGGGACGGGUCUGUCCGCCCCAGCUGCCCGCUGAAGUUGUAGAGCCGCUGCGUGAAGGAGGAGCAGUGGGAGCGGACGAUGGUGUGCGCGCCAUAGAGCGUGACCAUGUCGUCGGCGUCCUCCACGGGCCGCGGUCGGCACUCGCUCCUCCGGGGCCACCAUCGCCGUUGCUCGUGCCUCGGUAACCACCGCCGACGAGUGAGGGGGCGUGUAGCUCGCUUGCGCCUCACCGGGCCGCGGCCGGCGCCCGUGCCUCAUGGGCUGUCGGCAUCGAUCGCGCCUCUCGGGCCAUCAUCGUCGCUCGUACUCAGGGAACUGCUGUCGUCGCUCGUGCGUCAGGAUGGUGGCGUCAAAAAAUGAACUCUAGAGGCCUAGAACUCCUUUUAUAGACGUUGAUACCUGAUUGGGUUGGACCGCGUUGCCUAGUUUCUAGACUAGGCUUCCUUUAGUUAUUAAAAACCCAAAUAUAUGGACUUUAGUACCAGUUCAUGAUUACAACCGGUGCUAAAGUUUCAACUUUAGUACGGCUCUAGCCAAGAACCGAUACUAAUAGGGGACCUUUAGUAACGGUUCUAACCAAGAACCGGUACUGAAGUACUAUCUAUAGUACCAGUCAGUGCAAUCGGUAAAUUUGCGGGCUUUUAGUGUCAGAUGCGGUCUUUUAGUCUAACUUUCAAUAAAUACAAGUACAAAAAAUUCAGUUGCAGUUCUCAAAAGCACUUCUCCCUGGAAAGAAAAGUGAAUUGUUUUGGUGAACAUCAAAGAAAAAGCUUGCUCUUCUUUCGUAAAAAAUUCUUCUAAAAAUACCGAACCCAAUCGUUGCAUAAAAGUUUGUACCGCACUUUUAUGUUUACGAGCUAAAGUUCUAGCAUAUGAAAGUCAAAAUAUAUAUUUUAGUCGAUACAAAGUCUGUUUUUUCGAAGAUCCACUAUGAUAAUGAAAAUAUUUCUACAUAAAACUCUCAGUGUUGUACAGACUACAUACACAGUGCUCGCGGGAAAAAAAGAGCUUCUAUAUUUGUGAUCGGAUGUGGUCACUAAAUAUGUACAUGCAUGUUGUGCAAAUAACACCAUUUUACUUGAUAAACUUGUUUGAUUUCACAGCCUUGAAGAGAACAAAAAACACUCUACUUAAUGUUGAUGUAUGGAACGUAUAAACAAACAUAACACGCGCGGGGUAAUUAGAUAAUUAAACUUGACUAGUAGUGUGGGUUUACGGCGAAGCACUUCUCCCUGAUCUCUCCCUCGUCGCCGGUGAGCACCUGGACCUUGCCCAUCUUAACCAUGGCCUUGGCGAACUUGACCUGCCAUGCCUUCUCGACUGCGGCGUUGAAGUGGACCAUUCCGGCCGUCCAUGGGUUGUCGAGCAGUGUGUUGUCAGAGAUGAACAGGACCUUGUGCGCCAGCACGUUCUUGUAGUACUGGUUGUCGAAGGUCGCCGGCGUGACUGGGUCAAGCGGCACCACCGUGGGGUCCAUCUGGUCGUCGCUGGACGGCCAAGGGCACCGUGCCUUUAGGUGCCCGGCGUAGGCGGGGUCGAGGGACGGGUCUGUCUGCCCCAGCUGCCCGCUGAAGUUGUAGGCGCUGCGUGAAGGAGGAGCAGUGGGAGCGGCCGAUGGUGUGCGCGCCAGAGAGCGUGACCAUGUCGUCGGCGUUGAGCCCCUUGCGCUUGAAGCUCUCGAUGAGCUCGUCGACCUCGUCAGUCGGAGCUGGGACAUUGUUGUCGAGCACCUCCUCCUCUUUGGACACGCGGCCAUCACGGCGGCCAGACGGGACCUUGUAGUCCAGGCCGCCGGCGAGGUAGGUGCUGUCACGGGCCGCGAACGCGACGAUGUCGGCGCAGGAGACGGUGCGCGGGCAGUGCGCCUCGAGGACGGCCUUGGCGUCGUCGAUGACGUCGAAGCCGCGCAUGGAUGCUGGGGUUGUUGGCCACUGAGUCCUUCUCGGCCUUGUUGCCCGGCGUGGAGUUGAUGAGGAUGGAGCCGUCGCAGCCCCGCGCCUACGCCGGGCUCACGGGCGAUGCCGCGGCGGACGGCGUUGCGCACGAUAUCCUCGGCCUGUGGGCACGAGUGCUCGUAGAAACCGACCUCAAGUUUCCCAGGCGGCGAGGCGAGUGCCACCGAUGAGGAGGCGGCGGCGAUGAGUGCCACCAGCAAGGCAGCAGGCAUCAGCCAGCAUGUCGACCGCCCCAUAUAUGAUCAACUGCAGUCGUAUAUACCCAAACUCUCAGCAAGUUUGCUAUAGUCGCUUGAGUUGAUCGAGGUCGAUGGUGAUGUUGAGAAGUGAAGCUGAUGAGGAGAUUUGAAGAACGGUGCCGCCGCUGGGUCUCUAUUUAUACAUUGGAAGCUUGCAUGGCGACAUGUCGCAGUUGGAGGAUGGCGUGUGUAUGUCAUGUGCACCCGGUCAAGAAAUAAGACCCAAUCUUCGCGUUCCCUAGCUAAUGUCUGCUAGACCCUCUUAAUUUCCAUGCACCAUCAUUAAAAAUAAAAAAAACUCCUUCGUCCUUCCUAUAACAAAACAGCUGCAAAACACGCAUCUUGUCUUUGUUUUGAAUUGCCACACGCGUCACUUUCGAUUGUAAAUUAUGUAGCUAUCACGAGGGGGUAUUUUUGAUCAAUCAACGUAAUGAUAAGCAGAGCAGACAACUGUUUAGAGAUGGACAAUGAUAUUACUUGCUUGAUCAUAUAUAUAUAUAUAUAUAUAUAUAUAUAUAUAUAUAUAUCAAGUUUCAUUGACAUGGUCGAUACCGCUGCCGCAUGACCAAGACAAAUCGAAGCCGUGUCAAAAUGAAUUAUGUUAUCACUAAGGCUAGGUGUCAGCUUCACUAAUCACUAGCUAACAAUAUAUUGUAUAUGAUUUGCCAAAUCUUAUAGGGUCAAAUGACCCGAUAAGCCCACAUAGCUCUCUGCCUUUAGUUCAACCGAAGCCCCUACCACCCGAGCAUGUGGCCUUUGCAUGCUGUCAGUACUGACUGGCCCUGCCAAUCAGUUGGCGUGGUCAAUACAGGAUUGUUUUAGAGGUGGGGUGGGUGAGGCUCAAGCCCCGUACCGCUCUAGAGCUUAUAUAGUCCCACUAAAGACUCUCCUAAAAUUUAAAAUAUACAUAGUAUAAUUUAUUAUGUAUUUUAUGGUUUUUAUCUUCAUCGAUUUUUAAUAAUACUACUCUAAACUAUUAUAUAUAUUUAUUGUGAGUGAUUUAGUGAGAUUAUAUCGAUGUAGUGGUUUAGUUAAAUAUGUCUUAAAAUAAGGUCAGUAUUGUUCAUGUUGAGACCUUGCCGGUCGUAUUAUCCGUGGCUUUAAAGUACGGGUCAAUACCGAUCGUCUCGUGCUGAAGUAGCAGCUUCUGAUUGGCUAGCUCCAUUUUAACCAUUUGGAUUUCCAUAUCUAUAUCCUUCUCAUUAUCCAUACCGACCAUCCGUGGAUGCUCCUCCUCCUACGACCGACGCUCCUUCUCCUACCUGUGAAGUUCCAUCCACUAAAGCUCCUUGUCGAGGAAUUUCUCGAUAGUGAAUUUAUGUGGGCGGAUUGCGCGUGAUCUAGAGAAGAAAGUAAGAACACAUGGACACAAAUAAUUAUAUAAUUAUACUAGUUUGGGCUCUCCUAGGAGAUAAUAUCCUACCUCAAGUGGCUGUCGGUGAUCUCCUUUCCAUGAAACGUCUGAUACCGCCUUUUAUAGUCUAAGGAAGCAAUCAGUUAUAGGAAGAUCAGAUAAAAAUUCUUAUGUAAACCUAUCCUUAUCUACCAAUCCCUCGUAUCUCGGGUUCUAUUGUUACAACAAAAACAUGUAGAUGAGUUAAUCGUCCUGCCCACAGAUCCAUUCUUGACGUGAGAUCUUGAGAGUUCCGUCCGAGUCCGAGUUGGGAGCGGGGACUAAGUUAGGCCACAAGUUAGUUUCGUGAAUAUUGACGUGUUCAGGAUAGCCAUGAUGUCUAUCUUUUACAAUAGCCUCUGACUUUUAUCAGAGUGUUUCGGGCAGAUGAAACUCUUCUAUUGAAUCUUGUGAAUGUUUCUGAACUAUCUGCGUCUGACUUGUUUUUAUCUCCUGAUCGAGUUCCAUGUCGGUUGUCAAGUGCUAAGUAUCAAAGGUGCCAACUCAUAUAGGUUUGAAUCUUGAAAAACGUAAAUAUGCACCUCUCGUGCAUCCUAUGGAUGUAGCCCCCGAGGCCGACUUACAGAGUUACCAGCUUGGGCAAGUUAGCCUCUGUCUCUUGAGGAAUAUCUACCAAUUCUUCGGCUAUUAAUAGGAGCAUUAUGUGGGCAAGGGUCCAGCCUCUGAGACUUGCGAUUCAGCCUUUUACUAUCCAAAGCUCAAUUUGAGAAUCUUUGAGCUAAUUCUUGAAAACCGCUCUUCCCAACGAGUUGUAUGAGGUGGCAUUUAGCCCUCCGAGCCGAAGGCAUUUGAUGUUCAUUCACCUGUCGUAUGGUGAUGCUUCUAAAUAGAAUCAUAUUUAAAGAGUCUGGAUUAAAUCAAGAUAUUCUUCAGUGUGUUACUUCGAAUGAGAUCUUAAAGCACCAAGUCGGGUACUAGGACUCAUCAGUUUUAUCAUGUUGAAGGAAAAGGAAGCGGGUCUUCAGAAAGACCCCCCUCAGUAGGCUAAAUCUUGGGAUUUAGCAAUUGACAUACCAUCGGGGGGGUGUGCAUGUAAGAAUUCGAGCCAAAAUACUCUACAACUUCACACAUCAUCGGAAGAAACUAUCGCUGCUUGGAUUCCCUCUUUGUUGCCCUCAAAAGGGUCUUUAUAUUGCCCUAUCGGUGAACCAAACCGAAAGGGGCUUUUGCUAUCCCACGAAUGGGUCACAAGCGACAAGCAGGGCCAUGUAGGUGAUACUUGCCAUUUCCCUAGAGUGAUCCCUACUCCAUCCAAAUUGACGUUUAGGCGUUUUAGCGGUGGUAAUCGAAUCCCCUUAAUACCCUUAAAAUUACUAUCAAGAUGUGAUGUGGUAGGGGGGAGGUUCCAUCGAAGCUUUGCACCAGGUGGUAGCUAAGGCAUGUAGGUGGCACAGAUAGAGGGUGAGGCCCAAUCUUCCUUGAGGUAGGAUAACUUGAUUGGGUAGAGAUCUUGACAUUGAUGAUCCGAUCCUCGCAAUCACUACACCACUGCUCAGUUGGUUAUCACCCAUGACACACGAGUGACCUCGCCAUGAAGUCUUAUCCCUGCAAGUGCAAUCAAGAACGCAAGUAAGAACAUGAAGAACACAAUCAACUGUAUUGAUCACGAGGUGGGGUCUCACAAACCGAUGAACGACGACAAUGUUCGAUGACAGAAUGAAUCUAAGAAAAACCUAAACCCUAAUGUGGUGGAGGCUGCUGAAACAAUAGAGGUUAGGGGCGUGCAAAACCUCUGGAGGUACCCCUAAUGGGCUCCAACACGAUACACGGGCCAACAACCCUAUAGACGAUGUCACAACAUCGAAACAGAAUCUGAACGCUGACUUGUUUCGACGAUUCUUGUUGACUCCAGAUAAAGUUUAAGAUGGUUCUAGUUGUGUUGGAAAGUGUGUCACCUUAGAUUUCCAUCCAUAUAAAGUCCUACCUAAUCGGAGAUGGAUGCAUCAUGGGCGUCCAUUUUAGUAUAGACUGGUCCUGGACUUCGAGGUGGAGACAAAGUUGACUCGGACUUGGCUCCCUCUUGUCGUGAACGUCCUAACAUCUCAUCCUUGACAUCUUGGCCUUUACCAAGUCCUUGCUACUCCUAUCCAAGGUUCCUAAUCAUCAAAACAUUCAUAGCAACAAGCGUAAUCUCUAAAACACAAUUGACUAGGUUAGAACGAAUCGGUCCAUGCAUUGUCUGUAUGGGAGUGAUGUCCUCAUCAUCCUUCCCCUAUUGAAUUGGGGUCAUAAUUGACUUAGGCGGUGGCCAAGGGGGUGGUCGAGCAACCCUAGGGUGUACAAGACCUUUAGGCUCAAAAAUAGGCAUCACUGAUUUCUAGAAGAUUCUGGACGUCAUUUUGUUAUGAUGAUUCCUAUCAGCUCCAAGUGUAUUUUGAUAUGGGACAAGUUGGGCUGGAAAUCUUAUCUAUUUAGCUUUUCAUUGCUAUCUAGAACGUCCAAACAGAGUCCGUAUGUGGCCGAGCGUCCUUUAUCAUGAGACCAGUCCUGUAGUCCGAACUAGAGUCACGAAUAAACUGAACUUCAACUCUCUUGAGCUUGGGAAUCUAUGAUUGAUUUGGCCUAGACCAUAUAAUUGACGUCCAUGUACUCAUCAAUCUCUCCUUCUUGGUUUUGAGUCAUCCUCGACUCAAAGUUGUUGGUGCUUGCAUAAGGUAUUGUUGUAGGUCUUGACAUCGUCCAACCUUGCUCCACUUCUUGAAGUUGAUACUGUUGUUGCAAAACAUACAAAGAAGGACAAGUGGAACUGGACAUGAUAUGGUUAGCUUUAACACAUCAGUCUAGUUGAUCAUAUGUUUCAUGACAAAAGGAGAAUUCAUAUUUGAAAAAAUAUAUACUCGAUGUACACUAUAUGCUCAUUUCUAAUUAUAUCUUCCAAUAAAAUAAUAUGUAUGUUUAAAUAUCCAUGGCAAAUCAGUACUAAAAGAAAGUUUCCCUUCUAAAUUAUUCAGAUUACAUAGAACCCCAAAUUCAAUACAACCCAAAGUAUUUGAAGAAGACGACAAUUUUAGGUCAUCAUGCACACUAGUAAUGGGAUUAAAAAUUCUAAUUUCAGCACAACUGUAGGAUUGGAAGCAACAUUAUCGAGUUUGUUCUCAAGUUGUGGCAUAUAGGUAAUAGAAGAAUCAUCAAUCAAUUCUUUGUUAUCACAAGAAUCAGUAGUACAAUCAUCAUGUGACAAAGGUAACUCAGAUAUAUUUGAAGGCAUGGCAUCAUUGGAAGAAACAAAUCGUUCUCUCAUAAGCGCUUUCAUAUUAGCCCACAAUUUUGGUUUGUCAUAGUCAUGAAAAUUGUUCCACCAAACUAAUGCAUGAUUCAUUAAAGUACUAGCCACAAUCUUAAUUUUUCUCCUAUCAAAAAUACGCCAUCGUGCAAAAAUCUUAUCUGUUAAUUGAUACUUCCCAUUCAGUAUACUCACUUACAAUAUUUUUAUCAAAAGAAGAGAAAUAUGGAUAUAUAGAACCUGAGGGAGAUGAAUCAGCAUCAAUGGCGUGGCUCUCAAAAGCUUUAGUCAAUAUGGGCAUCAUCUCCUUUAAUUCCAGAUGGGAGACACUCACCAUCAGUAGGCUUAGUGCCCUUAACCUUGUCCGUUUGGUCCUGUCAUUGUUAGUACAAAACAAAAACAAAGGCAACAAAUAAACAAUAUAAACCCUAUAGCUACUCUAAGGGGUGGUGGUGGAACACAAGUUAUGAAACGUCUUACCCCACUCUUAUAAGGUUCUUACUAGCACUGCAGGUGGCAAACAGUGGCCGGUGUGACAACAAUUAGAGUGUGGGUGUGACUACAAAUAAGUAUCUAUUCUGCUCAAGAUAAAGGUGAAGCUUUGGGAAGAUUCACUAAAUAUAUAUCUGUGGAACAGAAGUCAGUAACAUAUAGCAAUGUUGAAUAAGUGUCCAAAGUACUUGUCCUAGCUACUGACCCAAAGGAUUUAUUAGAAUAGUUGGGGAAAGACACAAAGGAGGUAACAAGAAUUGAGGUAUAGCAAGGGAACAAGUUGGAAGGAAAUACAAUUACAAAGGUGCAUAGGUCAAUGGUGUCCCUGCUUAUGUGCACUCUAUUAUCUCUUUUUUCUUUUUUUUAUCUUUGUUUUAUGUGGCUUUUUUGCACUUGCCUUUUAUAUUAUUUUUUUGACAAAAGUGCCGCAAAAACAAGAUAUAACAAAAGAGUAUCAAAAAAUCUUAUAUGUCUGUCAUAUAUUUUCUGCUCUAACUUCAACAGACUGUUUGACAAAUUAAGCUACCUUAAACGCAAAAACUCACAAUACAAAAAUUGUCUAUCUCCUUUUUAUCGUUAUUUUAGAUAUAUGGAACACCUAUUUUGGAUAAAUUAAGUGGGAGAUAUUGACCCAGAAAUACAGACUAAUCCGAAAUUUCAGGAUCACAAACAUAUUUACUUCCAAUACAGAUAACUCCUUAGUUCUAUAGUUUUCUAGAAAUCUUUUACAUAAUAAAGUUUAACAUAGAUAAUUUUAUAAGCUUUCUAGAAAGUACAAGAACACUUAAUUCCAAGUUCGUAUGCGAGAUUUAUGCUCAAAAUACCGAACUGGAUAAAAACUAAUCUAAUAAAGACGAGAUGAUGUGAUUAAAAAUGAUGGGAUCUGUUUUGGAGAUUAAAUUUGUGGGAUGGAAGCGGAUGAAAAGUAUUAAACUGAACCAAAACAAAUCUAAACUAACAACCAAACACAAUCUAGGACACAAACUCAUAACUCAGGACUCCGAAACUGAAUUAUGCCAAGGCUAAGGCGGUGAUUGUAGGUCGGGGAACAAUCGAUCUAUAUACUUGUGGGCUUUUGUGGACUAUGGGACGAAACAAAAUGAAUCUAAAAGUUAGAUUAUACCUCACGAGCAACCUGAAUCUUUAUACCACUUGAUAGAGGGGGAGGCCAGAUCUUCCAUGAGGUAGGAUGACUUAAUUGGGUGGAGAUCUCGACGUUGAUUAUCCAAGGCUCCUAGCGAACGGACCUCGCAAUCACUAUCACCUGUGACACAAUCAAGAACAUAAGUAAGAACAAUAAGAACGCAAUCUCGACGUUGAUGAUCCAAGGCUCCUAGUGAAUGGAUCCUCGCAAUCACCUCACCACAAAGGCUUAUCUAUACAAGCGCAAUCAAGAACAUAAGUAAGAACAAUAAGAACACAAUCAAACUGUAUUGAUCACGAGGUGGGAUCUCACUAACUGAUGAAUGACAAAACUGUUCGAUUACAUAAUGAAUCUAAGCAAAACAAUGUAGUGGAAGAAGCUGAUAAAAUAGAUGUUAGGGGCAUGUAAAAGACAUGAAGGUACCUCUAAUGGGCUCCAACACGAUACACGGCUAACGACCCAACACACGGUGUUGCAGCACCAAAACAUAAUCUGAACACCGACUUGUUUCGACGAUUCUCAUUGACUCUAGAAGAAUUUUAAGUUGGUUCUAGUUGGGUUGGAAAGCUUAUCUCCUUAUUUUUCCAUCCAUAUAAAUUCCAACCUAAUCGGAGUUCGUAUGCAACCUAGGAGUCCAUUUUAAUGCAGACUAGUCCUAGACUCUAAGGUGGAGACGAAGUUGAGUCGGACUUGGAUCCCUCUUGUCACAAAUGUCCUAGCUUUUCCUCCUUGACAUCUUGGCCUUUCCCAAGUCCUUGUUGGUCCUCUCUAAGAUUCCUAAUCAUCAAAACAUCCAUGGCACCAAGUGUAUGCUCUAAAACAUAAUUGAUUAGGUUAGAACGAAUCUGGAGAUUCAGCUGUCGUGCACAAGCUCGUGUUAUCGGACCGUGCGUUGUAUGUAUGGGAGUGAUGUCCUCAUUAGGUACUGCUGCCCUUCCCUCAUGGGAACCCAACUCUGCCCAAGCCGAAUCAUCUAGGCACUUCUAACAGCAGCGUCAACACCUAAUAUCCUUAGAGUGUUGACCAGAUUUGUUGGAGUUUGGAGGGCUGAUCCAUAUUUUGUCCUUCAAGAAAGAUUUUCAAGAAGCAAUUAGUAACCAACAUAAAUGAAAAAUUUUGUAGGAAUAUAUAAUGGUAUGAAAUAGUUAAGAGAAAAAUCUUCGGUCGUGAUACAAACACUGAAAUUGUCCAAUAAUACUUGCUCAAAAGUGGGGAUUAUGCAAAAAUAGCGCAGUAGCUCGACAUUUCAGAGAUUAGUAACGAGGGUACCAUCUUCUUGCUGGAGUUGACAAGCACAUGAUCGAAGCACUUCCAAGAUGAUGUAAGGGCCUUUCCAUAUGGGUGAUAACUUAUAUUUGUCAUUCAUGCUUUGGAUCUUUCACAACACCAGCCCCCCUACAGUAAAGCUUCGAUCUCGAACAUUUUUGGAGUGAUAUCUCUUCAUGGAUUGUUGAUAUAGUGCUAACUACACUAUCAUUGAGUCCCUUGCGUCCUCAAGUUUAUCAAGGUCGGCAACUCGAUCCUCUCGAGACCAGUCUUCUGUGAAAUUUAGAACUCAGAACGAUUGGUGCUUCAUUUUAGAUGGGAGCAUGGCCUUAUAUCCAUAUACUAAAAAGAAUGAGGCCUGACAUGUUGUGGAACUUGGUGACGUCCAUAGCCUCUAGAGUACUGUUGGUAACUCUUCGACCCACAUCCCUACAUAAGCGACCUAAAAUCACGGGCUUCAAACCCUUAAGAAUAAGGCCAUUGGCUCUUUCCACGUGGCCAUUGCUUUGGGGAUGAGUGACAGAAGCGAAGUUCACUAUGAUCCCGCUUUCGAAAGAAAAUUCCAUAAAUGCUUGAGAAGUAAACUGGCUUCCAUUAUCUGUUAUGAUGGAUCUCGAGACGAUGAAUUGGUUAAAGAUUUCCUAUGUGAACUCCCCAGCUCUAGUGGCCAUGAUCUUUGCCAUUGGUUUUGCUUCAAUUCACUUGGUGAAUUUGUUAAUGGCAACAAGAGGAAAACCACACCAUCUUUGGCCGGUUUGAAAGGUCCCACAAUGUCUAAAGACCAAGUGACUGGGAUGGUUUGGAGCGGUGCAGCUAUAAUGUGGGUGGUGGGCCUGGUGCACAAAAAUUUGACAUCCUUCUCAUGUUCGUGUAAGUUGUUGGGCAUCAGUUACCGCAGUUAGCGAGAAAAAACUUGCCGAUAGAUUUUCCAACCAAUGGUUUAGCUUCUACAUGAUUUCCACAUAAGCAUGAGUGGAUUUCACUGUGUUGUGCUCUUCCUUCUUUGGUGGGGACACAUUUCAUCAAGACUUAUGAAGCACUUUUUUGAUAUAGCUCAUCGUUUGUUAAUACGUAUGUGUUAGAUUUCCGGUACCCUUGAAGGCUAGCCAAUUUGAUUCAAUGAUCAUUACACUGGGCUCUCCCCCAUCAAGCAUCUCCAAUCCUGGUUGUUUAGCUAACUCGGCCGAAGGGGAUUUAGCCAUCUUACUGAUGGUUGGGGAAGUUAAUUUUCCAAGAUGGCUCCUGGUGGCACAGGGGAUCUUGACGAUCGUAUUCUUGCUAAUAUGUCUGUUUUUUCAUUCUUAGCCUGUAGAAUAUGCGUAAAUUUGAUCCCAUCAAACUUUUCUUUGAGCUUCCGAGUUUCCUGGUAGUAACUCAACAUUUUGUCGUCGUUGUAGGUCCACUCUUUAUUUAUUUGAUUGAUUAGUAACGAGUCACCUAGAACUCUGAUCUGGUGAAUGUCGAGAGCGAUGGCAAUUUGCACAUUGAGUAAGCCUUAUAUUUGCCAACAUUGUUUGAUGUCGGGAAGUGUGUUUUAAGAACGAACUUAAACUUCUCACCUUUUGGAGAAGUAACCACUACUCUCGCUCCUACUCCAGUGGGUUACAAGGUUCCGUCGAAGUUUACGAUCCAAUAGUCUAAAUGUUGUGACUUGGAUGGUGUCUGUAUCUCCGUCCACUGGGCGACAAAGUCACCGAGGACUUGAGCUUUGAUAGUCAUUCUUGGCUUGAAGACAAUGUCAUAUAGUCCUAGUUGGAUGGCCCACUUAGCAAUUUUGUCAGUGGCAUCUUUAUUGUGUAGUAUGUCCCUUGGUGUUUAAACUGUGUGUACUUUGAUUCAGUGUGCAUGAAAGUAAUGCACUAACUUGUGAGAAGUAAUGAGCAAAGCAAAGACCAUCUUUAUUAUAUGAAAGUAUCUUAAUAUGGACUUGUUGAGUACCUUUGAGAUGAAGUAGACCGAGAACAACGCCUUCUGGGUACUGUUAGGACUCUGCUGCUCCACUACAAGGGUUGUGCUAACCACGUGAGUGGUGGUCAAGAAGUAUAGUUAGAGUGUCUCCCCUAAUUCAGGGGCAACCAGCACAGGGGGAUUCGUCAAACACUUCUUUGGGUGCUUCCUGAGAUUCCUGGGCCUCGCUAGUCCAUAUGAAAUGCUCUUGCUUUUUUAACAGCUUGAAGAAAGACAAACCUCCAAUGCUAAGUCGAGAUCUGAAUCUUCUUAAUGAAGCCAUACAUCUAGUCAGUCUCUGGAUAUCCCGAAGACAACUCAGAGGUUCCAUCUUCAGUAUCGCAACCACUUUUUCUAGGUUCGCCUCAAUUCCUCUAUAUGAAAUUCAGUACCCAAGGAAUUUUCUCGAAUGGCACUCCAAAAGUGCACUUGUCAGGAUUUAACUUGAUAUUAAAGUUUCUCAGAUUUUUGAAGGUUUUUGCUAAGUUAGAUAUCAAGUCCUUCUUGACCCUAGUCUUUAUUGCCACAUUAUUGACAUAUGCUUCCACAUUUCUAUGUAGUUGAGGUGCUAGGAACUUCUAGAUUCCCCUUUGGUAUGUAGCCCUUGCGGUCUUCAACCUAAACGACAUAGUGGUGUAACAGUACACAUCGAAUGGGGUGAUGAACGAAGUUUUGAUUUGGUUCACUUUUUAGUGGGAUUUGGUGAUACCUGGAGUAGCAGUUCAAGAAAGAGAGUAAGUCAUAGCCAGAUGUGGAAUCUACAAUUUUAUCGAUCCAUGUAAAUAGAACAGAUCUUUCGGGCAAGCCUUAUUUGGAUCGACAUAAUCAACAUGCAUGCACCAUUAUUUAUUUUUCUUUGGUACAAGUACAGGGUUUACUACCCACUCAAUAUUUCUCUAAUAAAACUAGCUUCUAGGAGUUGAGUUAUCUCUUUUUUUAUUAUUUGACUAGAUUUGAGGUAGGGCUUACAGUAUGAAAGGGAAACAUGCCUUAAAAUUGUUUCUAUAUCUAUUUUGGUGUCCGAUGACCAUCAUAACCAUGUGAACUAACUAGUUUGCUAAGUAUAUGAUCAUAGGUCCAUAAGAAAAUACAUCAAAAGAACAAACUCAAAAUUCAGAAGGCACGGACGGCCCAUGCCCCCAAUCCGGACCAUCUAAGACACAAACUCAGAGUUGGACAAAAACUAUGUCGAAUGGAAGAAGAGAACUACGGACCGUACGGAGCUAAACUCAUUUUAAAUCCAAAAUAAGUUUUUAUAUUUCAUUUCAAAAUCUUAGUUUGCAAGUGUAUCUCAACAAAUAAAAUAUAGUGGUUUAUUUUCCCUCCAAAAUUCUUCUCAAGAUAUCAUACAAAUAUUUCUCAAGUGAUUUCUUCAAAUUUUUUUCCAGAAAUAUUGACUAAAUAUUCCACCAAUAUUUUCCCAAAUAUUUUUCUCAUGAGAAAUACCCUCGGAAUCAUUUUUAAAAUUCCUACAAAUAUUUUGUUAAUAUUUUUUAUGCUCAUACGUAUAUAUACGCCACCGGUGUCAUACUGUAAGGCCCAAAAUUUGUAUACAAAUAAUAAUAAUAAAAUAAAUAUAUGAAGAAAUAAAAUAGAAAAUUCAGAUAUAUCAAAUUAUACUUGAGUAUUGAGAAUUGAGGAUAGAAUCUUGAAAACCAAGAACUAUUUUAGAAGAGGGUAAUAGAGAAUUUUUCUAUUCAACUGAAUGAUUAUGCAUUUCAUGAAAUGAUGCACCAUAAGCAAUCAUUUACAUGAAUAUUUAAUUUUAAAGUAACUUUAAUUCCUAUUCCACAAUCAAAAUAUUAUUUUCCUAAAGAAAAGAAAGGAACAAUAGGAAUGUGUUUCAUAUUUCAAACAUUUAUCAAACAAAUAAAUUAAUUAGAAUAAAUAAAUAUCUACUGCAUCAUGAUUGAUUUUUAGUGGGUAUUAAAUUUGAAUUCUUAAACUAUAUCUUAGAUUGGAAUUGGAAUUUUGUAAUGUCAAAAAGGAAUAAUAUGGGAAUAUAACAAUGAGAUGAGAAUUGGGAUUUAACCCAAAGGUACAAUUCUAAGAUUUGAGAAAAGAGAAUAAAAUACUAAACAAAUGAGAUAAAAUAAGUAUAUAAAUAAGAAAAUAUUUCCUUACACUAACAUUUGAAUUUUGUAUAUUUUGAUCCAAGGUGAGUCUCAUAACAAAAUUUAAAUUUAAGUUUGAAAAUCAAGAGAAUGAAAUAGAAAACAGAAAAGAUAAAAUGAAAAGGAAAACGAUCCAGUUGGGACAAAACUGUGGAAUUCGGCCCACUCGACUCUCACGCGUGCGCGUCGGCCCAACGUUCGUGCAAACGCGUGCCUUGACACCUGCCACUUGGGGCCCGCAUGUCAGUCCCGUUCCUAAGUUCUGAUCCCCUCCACGAGUCUUACCGCUGGGACCCCUUGGCGGUCUCUAUCUUUUUGCGCCCACUUCUCUCGCUCUCAUGGAUUUGCGGGACCGUGAUAUCAGGAGCUCCGUCUUCCGCGGGAGGAUGGUUGGUGGCCGCGAAUUCUGCUGGCGUGGUUGUGCCCACCUCCCCACCAUCCCUGUGGAUCACUUGGGCAUUGACCUUUCGUCGUGCGUUCGUCGCAUGGGGUGCUGGGACCCACCUGCCCACCUGCCGCACCAGUAAUCGCGAAAGUGGGCGGGUUGGCCGCGCGAGUCCGCCGCGUUUGCGGUGAUUGCUGCGCCAAUGGGCAAGAGCUACAGAUAAAACCCCUCAGCACCUUCCCGACCGCGAAUCUCGAAACUCCACACCCUCCUCGGACUAGCCGUUCCCCUCCUUCACUGUGAGAACCACACCACAAGUGACACCGUUGCCCGCCGCCAUAGACCUGUGUCUGCACCGACAAUUGAAGGCCAAGGUGGCGUCGGGAUCGUUCGUUGGCACGCGUUGGUCGCUGGCGUGAAGUAUUGAGCUCGGUGACCCGUUCAAUCAUUCAAAAUUUCUCGUCGUUGACGGUGAUCCGCCGUGCGCCGUGAACGCCGCUUCUUGGUACUUAACUCUCGGUAAUAAGUUCAUCUCCAUUCAUAUUACCUCCUUCGCGCUAUGUAGCAAGGCCGAAUUUGGAAACCGACGUGGCAGCGUGGGGUGUGGCUUCACCGGACAUGGCCACCGCCGUGCGGGGGUAGCACUGUCGGCCAGCGUCGAGGUGGGGGUUUGACGAUCGCUCAGUUGUUGGAUGGCAAACGGACAUCGAUGUUUGAGUUGAGGGAUACCCCUUCACCCCAACCGUUAUCCACCGAAGAUCGGACAUCUAGUGGCUAAAGCGAAAUGGUGGGGAUCGUGCGCUGUGGGUCGUCGAUCUCAGAUCCGACGAUGACUCGGGAAUCAGGAUUUAUAUCCAUUGCCGAUCUAAUCUGGCGUGUCGAGUUAGAUCGGACGGUUGUGGUCGCGCGAUACCCCUUCGCGUGGCUCGUUUUACAUAAGAGACCUCGACUUUUUAGGAAAACAACCCGCAGUCCAUGGUCAUUGUGCGCUGAGUUUGGGGUAUCUUACAUCAAGACCCCUACUGUUCUCUGAUUUUGUGCGCCCAGUCCAGAGAACAGAAAACCAGAUAAAAUUCAUUAGAAAAGGAUUUUUAAUGUAAAAAUAAACCCCUAGAACUUGUUUAAUUCAUAUAAAAUUCAUACUUAGUCCAAAUUGGUCCAUUCUAGUUCCUAUAAUUUUAUAAUAUUAUUGUUUAUACAUUAGUACGACUGUUUUGACAUGAAAGUAACAUUAAAAUUUAUUUCCUAACUAAUCUUAUACCAAGCACGUAAAAUCUUUGGAAAUUCAUAACUUAAAAUCUAUAACUCCAAAUUUAAUGAUUCAUGUUCCUAUGAUCUUAUUUUAAUGUGUAGAUUAUUAUUAUGUAUUUUGUUUACAUGUUUGGUGUGAUGUUAAUUUCUCCUUUAUACUAUGUAUGUUUGUAUUGAUGCGAGUAGACGAGCAAGUCACUGAGGAUCCUGGUGCCUAGCAGAUAGAAGUUGCUGAGCAGGAGCUCAUUGAAUGCAAGUUGUGCCCUUGAUCACUUCCUUUUUACCCAGUCAUGUUCUUACUAAUCAUAAUGAUCUGCAUAGGUUAAUUUUGAUGGGACCCAAUAGGUUACCCUAGUUUUGGCUAUCUUUAUACCUUUUUACAACUGAAUUUUUGGGUAGUAUAUGCUAUUGCUUUAUGUGGUUUUGGGUAUAGAGAUAUACAUUACUCAUGUUCACGCUUUUGUUAUCAGUUUAUUAUCCACUGUUCAUGAUAAGAUCAUUAUGUUAAUGGGAACACGGAGAACCACCUGGGAAAACAAUGCCACCACAAGGGUGGUAUGGGACGCCCUUGGCUGACUAAUUAGGAAAGCUAGUGGAAGACUACCUUACCCGAAAGGGGCAAGGGCAGUAGGGGAGUUGCAUGCAGGGAGGUUCUCGGGUUGAUUUUGCUGCGAUGGCGGUCAGACGAGGGAUUCUUGCAAGUGCUCUUCCCAUAAACUGUAGCGGGUUUUCGGAAGCUAGUGGAACUUUGUAAAGGUCUCGUAGUGGAUCCCUAACCAUUCACCUCGGUCGUGUCUAAGGGCCUUGCAAACCUUGGCGACAUGGGAUACAUGACUUGUGGGUACAGGGUACAACCUCUGCAGAGUGUAAAACUGGUGUACUAGUCGUGCUCACGGUCAUGAGCGGCUCGGACACUCACAUGAUUAAUUUAUGGAAUUAAAUUCAAUUUAUCAUUUGCAUCGCAUUGGGAUUACUUUAUUAUUACUUCUAUUUAUUAUUACUAAGGUUUGGUAUUUACUUACACUUAGUAUCUGCUAAUAAAUUUUUGACCAACUUAUAAAAGCAAUGCUCAGCUUCAACCUUUAUUUUGUUGAUCAGCCUUACACUUCACAUGAACUCCCACCUUUGGGCGUCUCUCUGUUGACUUUUUGGCGCCAAGGAUGGACUUUAGUUCGAUCUAUAUUUAUCUUUUAUUUUGUAAGACUUCGGCUAUGUAAUAGGUACAAUGAUUAUAUUGUGACAUUUAUCUCUAUACAUUCUGUUAUUAUAUGUGUUGUCUUCUUUGGCGAAUAUAUGAGAUGCACCCAGCUUUGUCCUUUAAAUCCGGGUGUGACACAUACAAUGAGCUCUACAAGCUAAUUUCACUUAUCCACGGCUAAUACAUGCUUAUCUCCCACUAAUCCUUGCCUCCUCCCCCUAAUCCCCCACCUUGCCUAUAAAUAGAGGGCCAAGGGGCUCCCUCAUGCCAUCCCAAGCCAUUUCAUGGCAACUCACUCCCAGUCACUCCCACUCUCACAUAAACACAAGGAUCAUUCGAUCGUUCAUUCGAUCGUUCGUCCAAAUAUUCUUAGUUUGUUCGCUCGUUCGUCCGAUCGUUCAUCCAAUUGUUCAUGGUUUGUUCAUUCGUUCGAUCAUUCGAUCUUUCGUCCUUUCGUCUGUCCAAAUUUAGUUAUUGUUCAUUCGUUAUGCUGCCAAAAUUCCAAUCAUUCGUACGUUCGUUCAUAAUCCCUAUUCAUCGUUCGUUCAUACGAACUAUUCAUCAUUCGUUCAUAAUAAGUAUUCAUUGUUCAUAGUUACUAUUCAUCGUUCGACCGAUCGCCCAAUUAUUCAGCUACUCAUCCAUCAUGAUGUUCAGCUCACCUAAGACAUGUCGACCAAUAUCUCAGUAAUGCAGACUUUGGUGACUGUGAUUUUCCUUCCAGUGAGUACUUCUCGUCUAGUCACUCAUCCUCCAAGUUGAGCACGCUUAACUUUGAGGUUCUUCUGAACUAGGCUUCCAAAAGAAAGGCGAACCACGAUUAUAUGGAUACACUAUCAAUCCUAUAAAACUCUAGGCCAAGAUACUACAACCCGCCAAGGCCAGGAUAUCAUAGUUUUCUAGUUGUCUGGGUCCCACCUAAUUGUUGUCCCAUGUGACACACUAAGUAGGAACAGUUGUCACUAACAUAAACCUUCGCUCACGAAUAGCCUAGAAAUAUUUCCUAGCACUCCGCUCAAAACACACGUUUUUGAACUUCCAAAUAUCCCCAAAUAUUCAAUUUUUGGAAUAUUCUAGGAAUAUUCCUUUUUCUUUUUCAAAUUCCUAUGAUUAUAAAAUCCAAAACUCCUUCGUAUAGACUCUGAUUUCGACAAUUCUGAUUUUCUAAAUUCUUAUCAAAUUACCCUCUAUCCAAUUAUCGUGGUUUCGGAAACCAGAGGGUAGUAAGAUUUGUGUUCGACAGGGUUGCUAGCGUGGACUCACUCCAAAUGGUGAAUCGGUGGAACUCGAGCGAGAGAUCUGGAACACGAGGUUAUAUUGGUUCGAGUUUGCACCCUACUCCAGUAUAGUGCUAACCGUAGUAUUCCUUCGAGCGUGUUACAACAAGUGUGCUCAUGUGCCUAUAGAAUAAAGAAGUCCUGCCCUUUUAUAGUUCAAGGGUAGGACCUUACAAGGGUGACUUGCUCUCUACUUGGUAUGAGGUUGGUCUGUUUCUCUGGCUUGUCGUUGUGCACCUGGUAUCAGGCUAUCCGUUGGGUCGUCCUUCUCUUACGCCAGUCUUUUAUAAGGAUGCUCAACAAAGACUUGGUCAUCGACUCUGCCUCACAAGGUUGCUCGGCAGAGACUUGGUCAUCCGCUCCACCUCGCGAGGUUGCUCGGCAGGGUCUUGGUCGCCUGCUCCGCCUCGCAAGGUUGCUCGGUAGGGACUUGAUCGCCCGCUCCUCCUCGCAAGGUUGCUCGGUAGGGUCUUCGUCACCCACUCCGCCUCGCAAGUUUGCUCGGCAGGGUCUUUGUCGCAUGUUCCGCCUCACAAGGUUGCUCCACAUGGACUUCUUGGGCUUUGUUUGGGCACCCCAUUCCUGGGUGCCCAACAUUAGCCCCCAAGCCUUUACGCGACUUCUUGGAGUUGUGUAGAAGCUUUUAUCUAAAAGGCAGAUUUCCUUGGUGCGCGCAAGUGCUGCUAGAUGCAGCCCCUGAGCCCCUGAGGUAUUUGUGAGAAUUGCUCGAGGGUUUACCAGGUUAAGUCUACAGUUUAGGGGCCGACCCUUGCUAUGGUGGUCAUCACACGUUGAGCAUAGGUUCACUAGUAGCUAAGUGGUGUGUGUGGCACAAUGAUGACGACUCUAGUGAUGCGAGCAAACGAUCAUGUCUCAACGUGGAAGUUGAUUAUAGCUCCUUGUCACACCUUAUUAGCCAUGAUAAGGCAAGAGCACAACACAAAGGUUAGGAGACAACAAUGAGUAGCAAUGAGUCCUCUUCCAUGGAUAAGAGAUGAUGAGGACAUCCUCCUCUAUUACCCAUUAGCAAAGACACAAUGGCCUAGUUGGUCUGCUUGUAGUCGGACGACGACCGUGUGAGCCUAUAAAUUAUCCCACAUCUAUUAACUUGGGAGAAGAAAACCACCUUAAAAGGGAGAGCCACCCUUCCACUAUUAGACUAGUCUUUUAGGGUGAUUGGGCCUUUACUUGAUUAGGUGUCCUUAAUGAAUUUUUGUUGCCUAGGCAACACUAAUUUGUUGGGCCUCGACUAACACCACCUGGGUUGAGUGUAUCAUUUCGUAUUAGAGUUAGGUCCCAUUUGAAGAUGGUUGGAAUGAUGAGGACAUCCUCCGAUAGUACUCGUUGGCAAUGAUGCAAUAACCCAGUUGGCUCAUUUGUAGUUUGGCGAUGACGGUGUGAGCCUCUAAAUUACCCCACCUCACUUGACUUUAGAGGAGGAAGCCGCCUUAAAAGAGAGAGCCACUCUUCCCCAUCGGACUAGUCUUUGGGGUGAUUGGGCCAUUACCCAAGUAGGUGUGCUUAAUGAACUAUUGGAGUUCGGGCAGCCCUAACUUGUUGGGCCUCUACCAACCCCACUUGCAUUGAGUGUAUUAAGAGCAUGGUGAACAAGCUCUACAUGGUUGGCUUGAGGAUAACUGAAUCAAAAUUGUUUAAGCACAUCAUCAAGUUAUUCGAUUAGAUACCACCAAUAUGGGUGAUAACAUGAAAAAGGUCCACAAGUUGGUCGUAAAGAAUUGACCAAGCAAUUAAAAGUAGAUGAAGAAAAUAUAGUAUUGUAUCAUUUUUUACAAACAUGUAUUUUUAUUUUUAAAAAUUACAUUCUAUCUAUUUUGAAUUACAUUUUUAUUUUGUUAACUACAUGAUUAAAUGACUUCUCCCAAAUAAAAAAUGUCAUGUUUUGUUUAACAUACAAAUCUAUAAAAGAAAAGAUAAUGUGGUGUUGUGGUGGCUACAAGUUGACGGUAAAGGUUGUGUACAAGAGCGUUGUAGUAGACAUGGGUUGACGGCAGUCAAUAACAUGGUCGGUAAUGUGAUCGAUAGCUGAUGUGGUGGGUGGUAUGGCUGAGUGCAUUAGCUCCAGCCUAGGCCAUAUGGAUUAUGUUAUCGCUAUGCCUGAAUGCACUAUUCCUGUAAGGAUUAUGUUCGUGUCUGUGGCAUAUGGUCAAAAGUAUUGAUGUUUCUUAAUGUGAAUUCAUGCCAAAAUGCUUUUACACUGACAGUUGAUGAUGGAUUCAAGAGGUUAUAUUAGAAAUUGUGUACCCAAUUAUAUUCAAGGGUAUUUAGUCGAAUAUCCAAAUUUUUGGGCAUGAAAAAUUAUAGAUUUAGUGUUUAUAUAUGUAUUGGAUAAAUAAAUACCAAUUAAGAAUUAUGUCCAAAAUAUAUUUUUCUACUCCUAUCCCCUCCCCAUCCAUGACUCAAUGGCCCAUUUUGAUCGAAGAAUGUACUGGGCAAAAACCAUCGGCCUCCCCACCCUACAUAGUCACUUUAUUUCUCAAUCUCGCACCCAUGACCGCUGAAAGCGUCUAAGCCAUUAGUAGUUAUGAUGAUUAAUGAUUUCAUAAUAUUAUUGUGACUAAUGUGUGUUUUGCAUAGACAAAUUUGAGUUAGAUUAUAGUGAUGGAUAUUGUUUAUGUAAUAUAUGGUUACUAUGCCCCUACUUAUGAAUUUUGUUGCAGUUUUUGCAAGGAUGAAAGACAAGGUUAAGAAUGGACUACUUCUAAGUGUCGAUUGGAGUUGAGGCACACUUAGAGUAGUGUAGGACUUUGUUUUUCCUUUGACCAUAUUAUAAAGGGGUAUAAACUAGUAGCUUGACCUAGAUAAGUCUAGUGAGUUUAGUGUGGCGUAAACUAGUUAUCUUUAUCUCUAGCUAGUUUAGGAGAGGCCCAAAACUAGUAAGGAUCAAAACCCAAUUCCAAUGUUGCAAAAUUGGACAAUUUAGAAGGCUUUCGAUGCAUUAGACCUUGUGUUUUAGGGUUAUCGGACCAUAGUGGAUUGGUCUGACUCCUCCAGUUGUCAACCUAAGAGCACCCAAUUGUCAAACCCUAUGAACAGUACCUCACUAGACCAAUGCAUUGGGCCAACUGUUUGUGUGAUCAAACCAUCAGUUCUAGGGGUACAUUGAACUGGUCCUAUGAUAUGUGUUGGACUGAAAAAUGACAUUGUUUUAGCUUGGGGUUUGGCUAUAUGGUCAUUAGGCCCUAUGAACAGUUGUCUCAUCGAACCAAAGAAUAUAAGUCCAACAAGUGUUCACAUUGAAUAUAGAGGUUCUAGUGGGCGUCAGACUUGUCCAACGAUGGGUGUAGGGCCAUACACCCAAGGCUCAGUUUUUAAUGGCUAGUUCUAUCACGGUAGUACAAUAGUUACCAUUAUGUCCCAUCAGAUGUUGUGUUAUGGAACAAAGGUGAUUGUUGGACAGUAUGGUGAUGUCAAAUUUAGCCUGUGUUGGAAGUAAUGACUAGUUGGCUAGUUAGAGGCAAUAAAUACCCCACCAAUAACCAGCACAUCUAACAUUGCCUCCAUUUAAUAUCCAAAUCAACCCAUAUAGUGUGAGAUAAGGAGCCAUUGCAUAGUGAGGGAUUUGAGUCAAAUUUAUAAAGCCCUCAUAGCGCAUGCAAGAGUUAUUAGGGUGCACCCAUUGAUCUCAUCAAUUUUGUUAGAGUCAAGUGAGAGUUUGUGUUUAUUACUCUUGGUGACCAGCAUCACCUAGAUGGUUUAGUGGCACUCGAUGUGUAGUGAUUGUCUAUAGAGAUUGCAUGUGAUCCAACUCAGGAAGUGUAUAUGGUUGUGAGCGGUUCACCAUGCUAGAGUGCCAAAGAACAAGCUUGUAGUGAGCACUUGGUCCUUAUGCAGAUCAAGGGUGUGUGACACCCUUGUGUGGGUGCUCCAAUGAGGAUUAGUGGAGAAUAUCGACUACCGUGACAAGAGGAAAUGCUUGAAAAUCUUUUAAAUCCUUGGAUAAAUUUCCACAAUUAUGUUUGUAAAAAUUUACAUUCUUAGAUUUUUCAUGAUAGCAUAGUAUUGGAAUUUAGGCACAAAUUUAUUGUAUACACAUUAGGCACUCGGGUGAAGUUAUGCUAAUAAAUAUGAUAAGCAUAUGUAUUGUCACGAAGAAAACAUGAAGAUAAAUAAACAUCUAGUGAAGAAUUCAAAUUAAAAUAGACUUUUCUACGCCCCUCCCAUCCCCACCUGAUGGUCUAUUUUGACACAAGAAGGUAUUGGGGAAAAUCCUCAUCCAGCCCUCCGCCCCACCCCACCUAUUCGCUCUCUUUCUUAGUCCCUCCUAUGACUGUGACUAAAAGCUGGUGAUCGACAACACCGCAAGCCAACAACUUCUUCCUCUUUGGAAUCAAACACCAAAAAAGGAAGAUAUUAAAAGCACUAGGGAUGGUCAGUUUUUGUGACCCUACAAAAUUUUCUUCCUUCCAUAUGAAUGUGACGGAACCUCCCAAGUAAUUAGGCCCACCUACAGUUGUCCUUGUCUAACAGACAUCAGACACCCUGUAGAUGUUCCUAAGUUACUUGACAAGCUCGGUAUCUUUCCUUACCUCACCAGGAACGUCUCACCCGUCUUGCAGACAUUACAGAACAUCGGAGAUAAAGAGAUGCGGAAGCAAUUACAUAAACUUACAUUUAUUUCAAAAGCAAGCUUGAGUUAUUUUAUUACAGACCAAAACUAAAAAGCGAGUGUAGAGUAGUAAUAUUAUACAAACCAAGGGAGGUACAAACUCCUCCCGAUAAGCUAUAAGUAAAAGAUCCUAUGUGGAGGACCGAGUCUUCCCGCACUUCAGUCUUGUUUUUCUUCUUUUGGAACCACCUUGGCACAGAAGCAGCAAAAGUCUGCUACUUCCUCACCUAAAAACAACGAAGGGAUAAACCCUGAGUAUGGAAUUACUCAGCAAGUCUUACCCGACUAAAGAAAAGACUCUCAAGGGUAUGCUGGUUGUAUGGGAGUCAAGGUAAGGCUUUUCAAUAAUCAAAGACGCUGUUUUGCAGAAAUGCUUACUAAAGUGGAUCCUUAAAAAUCCAAUUUUAUUUGUCAAGUUAAGUAAAAUUACCUGCACUAGAGUUCUUUCUACCCUAGUUCAAUCACUGGUCCUGCAGAAGCCAAUUUCUUAACAAAAGCCCAUCGUCUUUAGUGGAAUGCUACGUGUAGGGCAGUGACCAAGUCUUCAUAACCGCGAAGGUACGGCGAUCCGAAUCGAUUAUACUCAGCUGAGGAUCUCCAAUCACACGACAUAUGUAGCACUUAACCCUUGCAUAUGUCAACCCGCCACCGGGGUUCUUAAGACCGGAUCAGGUUCACGCAAACCGAGAGCACAGAUACACCACCGUCCAGCCUCUUGCCACGGAGGGUACACGCUACUCUCGCCACCGCUCCACGCCCAUUUCGUGUUAUCUUAUUCCGGCCUUAGUCUGCCUGAGGCAAGGCUUACCCAUGACGAGGCAUGUGACCAGUUAAAGGGUCCUCGAUCAUCAAGCCUACAUCGACAAGGUCCUUAAUCGACUCAGACAGAGACACUACACCGAGACUCUCUUCUCGUGCAAGUCACCUCGCCCGGUCUCAACUUAAUUAUUUCAAACCCAAAGUUUGGUACCUAGCAGAGGUACAUCUUUUCCGAUGUUGAACCUAUCAAGGCCUUUGAUAGAUCCAUCAUCAAGUUUUAUUUUCGAAAAACAUCCCACCCACUUUUGCCACAUCAUAUUUUGUAAAAACAAAACCUUUUGUUUUUCUAAAGCCAAGCUAAACAUCAAAAAGCUUUUGUAAAACAGGUGAUUAAGGAAGGUAAUCCAAUUCAAGGAAGGUAAUGCAGGAAUGGUUUUAUCAAGCAACUCCUAUCACCUAAUGCAGCAAUCAAGUGAGAAAGAUUUUAAAAUAGCAAGGAAGGUGGCAAAUGCACCGGGGCUUGCCUUCGUUUAAAGGUGAUUCGGGUUCGGAUCCACAGAUAUCGAAGUAGAAACUAUUGCCUGCUUGUGAAUCCGAAGGAGGUGGUGUCCUGUCUUCGGUGACUUCUAUCUCUUCUUCACGUUCUAAUCAUAACCAUACAUAAGUAUAAGAAUGGAUGCCAUGGGAUGCUCAUGAGGAUGCAAAUAUAAACUUAUUAUCUAUGUCUUGAAUACAACUUUCCUUCACGGAGUUCCGGGAACUUAGGGUUUCCGGAGUCGGUAAAGGAGUUCAUAGGGCAGGGGGGGUGUUUUGGGGUUUGGUGAUCAAACAAGGUCCAAAUCAAUUCAAAUCCUACCCAAGGCUUCUAAAUAUUAUGAGGAACUCAUAUAAAAAUUUUGAGCAUUUUUGGAAUUACCAUUUGUUUUCUAAAAAUCCAUAACCAACAUUUUUAACCACUUUAAAUACCCUAAAAUUUCUUACUUCCACUAAAAAUCACAAACUUAUUUUUACUAAAUUCUAGGGAAAAUAACAAGCCUAGGAAAAUUAGUUUCACAAUUUUAGCAUUUUUCUACAUUUUUCUACAUAUUUCUAAAGCUCUGCUGAAAAAGAAAAAGGAAAAGGAUUAAAUAGAACUGGGCCGGUUCUGGCCCAGACGGCCCAGGUCCAGGGCAAAACGCGCCCGCGCGCGCCCGCGCCCUGGCAGCUUUGCAGAAAGGGCCCCGAGUUUUUGACUAACUGUGAACGAGUUCAGUUACUACUUGUAUCAGUCACUGACAAAUUGCACCGGGGCCCCUGAGGUUCUAUUUCUCCACAGGUGAGGUCCCUGACGACGGCAGCGCACGGAGGAGCUCCGGCGAGCGCGUAGACCGGCCGAGCGGGGCCACGACCGGUGCUCAGCUGCGGCCUAAACCAAAUUCACAACCUAGCGAAUGUUUCCCCUAGGUUAAUUUGAAGAAUGGUGCCCUAAUAUGCCCUGACCACGGCAACCGUGAGUAUUGCGGCUAGGUGGUCGCGUUCCCGGCGACCAGAGGAUUCUCAAUCCAAUUGCAUGCGUCGGUGAGUUUGAGGGAAGCUUAAGGAUGCUAAAACGAGAUUAGAGAGGGCGUGAUCGGACCUGGAGAGGGCUGGCCACGACGAGCUUGGGUUCACGGCGUUCUUCAACCGGUUUGGGGGAAAUUCCAAAUUCAAGUUCUCUGGUGGGGGGUUUGGGAUGCAGGUGGGUGCAGUAGAUGCUUGGAUGCAUGGCAGAGCUGGGGGUACUGUCAAUUUAUAGCGCCCACGGGCGGUGGUGCUCAAUUUGGCCGAGCCACGCGGCGGUCGGAGGUGAAGAAGAAAGCACUGGCCUCGUGAGUUCGUGGCCAACGGCGUGGCAAGCUCACCGGCGUCGAUGGGAUAGCCUUAAGGUGUCACGGCGGUGCGGUGGAAAGGCUAAGCCACGCGGCACAUGGCCGAGAGGCGGCGGUCAUCGGCGAGGUAAUCCACUCAGCCGCAAAGAGGGAGAGAGGGCUACGGGGGUCACCGGAGUGAUCGCCAGCGCACGGGCGGUGAAGAUCUUUUACCCCGCAAGGUUAUCCAUUAGCUAUGAGCGCGAAUCCGGACGGCGGCAGCACGAAUCACGGCGGAGGGAGCCGUCGGCGGUGAGGACAGCCGCGCUGGCGGUCUGAUCCCUAUUGAGCACUGUACCAUGGCAGUCACCAAUUCAGAGCGACUGACAGAGCACAUUGGAGCAUCAUUUUCUCUGAUUUUCAGAUGGCAACACACCCAGUGAUCUAUAGCAAAGUUGUAGUGCUAUAAUCCAUCUAUAUCUUUGCUAUAAUGUGUACUCACAAAAGGUCACUGGAUCCCCUUCAAAAUCGAGCUCAAAGUUCAUGUCAUAACACUGUUAAUCUGCAUUUCAGACUUCAGGCAGCCUGACAGUCCAUCUUUGAUUGGGUUUUUCUCCAAAUUUCACAUAAGACCAUGGCUUGAACCCUUAAAAAAAGUUGUUCUCCCAUGAUUGAUCUUCAACUUUGAUGUGGUCACCUAACAUGAAUUCUCACUAUUUUGGAAGCUACACAGCCCCAAAGUUGGGCCUACAACCCUGUUUUCACACUUAGCAUAGGACUCAAAUGAGGUCCAUUUUGCAUUUAAGUCCAAAACUUAGGGUUUGGCUUUCAAGUCCACAUGUUUGUGAACCAAAUGACUUAAAAUACUUAUUUAGCUUGGUUUUUGCACUUUAGCCCAAAAGUGGGCUAAUUUUGCACAUAAGCCCCUAGGGUUUGGUUUUAGGGUUUUUCAGGGUUCCAAUUAGGGUUUCUGGUAUUCCAGGGGUAUAAAAGUGAUUCAAGUUUAUUCUUGGGGUCAUUUUAUGACUUUUACCCUAAAGCUUUUAGGUUUUCUCAACUUGGGUUAGGUUUUACCCCUUUAAUCCCUAUUUAGGGUUAAGUCCUUUAACCAGGGUCCUAUUUGCAAAACACUUAAACAAUACAACUUGUUUGAAAUUUUUGCCUAGUGAAUGCACUCUAGGUGUGUCAAACAUAUGCAAUGCCAAUGCUAUGAUGCCAUGCUCAAGUUUUAGUUACAGUAACACCAGGGGUGUUACAUCCUUCCCCCCAUAAAAGAAUCUCGUCCCGAGAUUAAAAAUCCUAGGGUAGGUAAUGGUAAAGGAAACACAUCACAUUUUUAUUUCUUAAGUUUUGGUACAAGGCAGGGGUGAUGUGGGGGUCACUUCUCUAUUACACAGUUAUACAGGCUUUACAAUUUACAAGAGGCUAAAAAGCCUGGGAAAUUCUUAUUCAAAAAGUCUUGAGUUUCCCAAGUAGCCUCAUCUUCAGAAUGCUGGUUCCACAGUAUCUUGUAGAACUUGAGAGUCUUUCUCCGGGUGACCCUGUCCUUUUGAUCCAGAACUCGAAUAGGAUGCUCCGAGUAUGUUAAAUCUGGUCCCAGGACAACAUCCGUCACUUCAAUGGUUCGAUCGGGAACCCGAAGACACUUCUUCAAUUGUGACACGUGGAACACAUUAUGCACAGCAGACAAUGUUUCGGGUAGUUGAAGUCGGUACACCACUGGUCCACAUUGCUCAAUCACCAGGAAUGGACCAAUGUACCUGGGUGCAAGUUUACCUUUAACCCCAAAAUGCGAUACACCUUUCAUUGGUGAGACCUUCAGGUAAACAUAGUCUCCUUCCAGGAAAUAUAAGGGCAUUCGCCGCGUGUCUGCAUAACUCUUCUGACGAGCUUGUGCCUUCUUCAUAUUAUAAAUAAUUUUCUGAACCUUAUCCUCGGCCUCUUUCACCAUAUCAGGCCUAAAGAAGCAUCUUUCUCCAGGUUCAGACCAAUUUAGCGGAGUUCGACACCGUCGUCCAUAUAGCGCUUCGAAGGGUGCCAUCUUGAUACUUUCUUGAUAGCUAUUGUUAUAUGAAAACUCCGCCAAAGGCAAACAUUCAUCCCAUUUCGGUGAGAAGUCCAGAACACAUGCCCGCAGCAUAUCUUCAACUAUUUGGUUCACUCUCUCAGUCUGUCCACUGGUUUGAGGAUGAUAGGCCGAACUGUGGAGCAAUUUGGUACCCAAGGAUUUAUGAAGUUCUUCCCAAAACUUGGACACGAACUGAGGUCCACGAUCCAACACUAUGGUCUUUGGAACACCAUGCAAACUGAGAAUACGGGUAAUGUAUAACUCCGCAUAGGUAAUGACGGGAUAUUUUACUUUGACAGGGAGGAAGUGGGCGAUCUUUGUGAGUCGAUCAAUGAUAACCCAAAUAGAGUCAUACCCUUUCGCGGUCCUGGGCAAUCCCACAAUAAAGUCCAUGCUGAUGUCUUCCCAUUUCCAUGUUGGGAUUGGCAAAGAUUGUAAUGGACCAGCAGUUUUCAUGUGUAUGGCCUUGACACGUCUGCAAGUGUCACACUUAGCCACAUAGCGUGCAAUUUCAAUCUUCAUCUUUGUCCACCAGUAAUGUUGCUUUAAAUCUUGAUACAUCUUAGUGCUUCCGGGAUGAAUAGAAUAACGACUAAGAUGUGCUUCAUCAAGAAUUUGCUGGCGGAGUUCUUCGUUCUUUGGCACUACUAUGCGGUUUUUAAACCAUAUCACACCUUGAUCGUCUUCCUUGAAACACUUGGCUACUCCAGCCUUUAUCUUCUCUCGUAUGUGCUUCAUACCCAGAUUAUCCUUUUGAGCAUCAAUUAUCCUUUGCAAAAUGAUUGACUCAAGCCUUAGCUGAUUUAGAGUCCCUUGUUGGAUUAUCCCCAGGUUUAGCUUCUCCAUCUCCUGACACAAAGUGUUCUCGAAGGUCUUCGCCAUAAGACAGUGGCAGGAAGUCUUACGACUCAAUGCAUCUGCCACCACAUUGGCUUUGCCUGGGUGAUAAUGGAUCUCCAGUUCAUAGUCUUUAAUGAGCUCAAGCCAUCGUCUUUGCCUCAUAUUUAACUCUGACUGGGUGAAGAUAUACUUCAAACUUUUAUGAUAUGUAUAUAUGUGACAGAUAUUUCCCAGCAGAUAGUGACGCCAUAUCUUUAGGGCAUGAACCACAACAGCUAGCUCCAGAUCAUGAGUUGGAUAAUGCUCCUCAUGUCGGCGCAACUGCCUUGAAGCAUACGCAAUUACUCGGCCCUCUUGCAUUAGUACACAGCCGAGCCCACUGCCAGAUGCAUCACAAUAUACGUCAAAAGGCUUAGUGAUGUCCGGUUGAGCCAAUACCGGAGCAGUGGUCAAUAGUGUCUUCAGUUGUUCAAAGGCUUCAUUACACUUAGAAGACCAAUUGAACUUAAUGUCAUUCUUCAAUAAACUUGUGAUUGGCUUCACAAGCUUAGAAAAAUCUGGUAUGAAUCUGCGAUAAUACCCAGCUAGUACAAGAAAACUCCGGACUUGGUGAACAGUUGUUGGGGGUUUCCACUCCAGAAUAUCUUUGACCUUGCUAGGAUCUACCGCAAUUCCUUUAGCCGAUAACACGUGCCCCAAAAAUUGAAUUUCUUCCAGCCAGAACGCGCACUUGCUGAACUUGGCAUAUAGCUGAUGUUCCCUCAGGCGCGUCAAUACAAUCCGUAGAUGCUGAGCAUGAUCCUCUUCAUUCUUAGAAUAUAUCAAGAUAUCAUCGAUGAAGACCACCACGAACUUGUCCAACUCGGGCAUGAACACCGAGUUCAUCAAAUAGGUGAAGUGGGCAGGAGCAUUUGUGAGCCCGAAAGACAUUACCAGGUAUUCAAACAAUCCAUACCGCGUAGUAAACGCGGUCUUCGGUAUAUCCUCGGGCCGAAUACGGAUUUGAUGAUAGCCCGACCUGAGAUCAAUUUUGGAAAAUACCCUCGCCCCAGUCAGUUGAUCAAAUAAGAUGUCAAUCCUUGGAAGAGGGUACUUAUUCUUAAUGGUGACCUCAUUCAGGGGUCGAUAAUCCACGCACAUUCGCAGGGUUUGAUCCUUCUUCUUAACAAAGAUGGUGGGACAACCCCAUGGGGACGAGCUUGGCCGGAUGAAUCCCUUAUUUAGUAGAUCUUGUAAUUGAAUCUUCAAUUCCGCCAACUCAUUAGGGGGCAUACGGUACGAUCUUCGGGAGAUGGGAGCCGUACCGGGCUUUAGCUCAAUUACAAAUUCUACAUCUCUUUCAGGAGGCAGUCCAGGCAAAUCUUCCGGAAAUACAUCUGGAAACUCACAUACUACCGGAAUGUUCUUGAUCUCCGGUACAAUGGCUUCAUAGACUCUACCAGAAGCUUGGCUGGAUUGAUUACGGGGAGAGUCAAAAGAAUCUCUUCUUGAUUAUAGCUCAACCUGACGGUUCUGAGUUCAGUGUUGAUAAUUGCCUUGUGUUGGGUUAACCAAUUCAUACCCAAUAUUACAUCUAUAUCCUGGCCUUUUAGAACAAUCAUGUUAGAAGGAAAGUUCCGCCCGGCCAUUGUUACUGGCACUUCAUAGGCCACUUCUCUAGUAAAAAUGUGUCCCCCAGGUGAAUGAAUUUUAAAUCCCUCCUUUGAUUCAUGGUAUGCAAUAUAAUGUUGCUCCACAAAUUUCUUGCUAAUGAAUGUAUGUGAAGCACCAGAAUCAAAAAGAAUAAUUGCUGGGUGACUGGCCACGGGAAACGUACCCAUCAUCACCGGCUCUCCUUCCGGUGUAGUAGCCACUUGGGUGUAAUAUACACGCCCUGUCUUCUUCGUAUUUUUCCCCACAGCAUUUCCUUUAGGCUGAGCUGAUUUCCCAGAUCCUUGCGGAGCAUUUGAUUGAUUUUGCCUAGGAUAUGGGCAGUCUUUGAUGAAGUGUCCCGACUUGCCGCAAUUAAAGCACCCAGUUGAAGAACUAGGCAAGGCAGGGAAUCGAGUGCCUGGGGCACCCGGCUGAUUUGGGGUAGUGGGGGUAUUGUUGGGGCGAAUAAUGAUAGGUUGUUUGAAGGGGAAUGAGGGUGGACGAGAAAAAGUGCGAUUUUGGCCCGAAGGCCGGAUUACAAACCGUUGCUUCUUCGCCUGGCCCUGAUUAGGCCUCUCACCACCGAAUCCCUUAUUCUUCCCAGAAUUUGUGUAUUUGGCUUCAACAGAUAAGGCUGUGCUGACAGCCUUUCCAUACGUGAGAUCUAUACAUGUGGCCAUCUUUCUCUGUAGCCGAUCAUUUAGACCCCGCAUAAAACAGUUCUUCUUCUUUAAAUCAGUAUUCACCUGGUCGAUGGCAUACUGCGACAGGUGAUUAAAUUUGUUGAGAUAUUGGUUGACGGUAUCUCCACCUUGUUGUAACUUCAUAAAUUCCUCUUGUUUCAUAUGCAGCACUCCUUCGGGGAUGUAGUGUUCACGGAAGGCUGCUUUAAACUCAUCCCAGGUGACUUGAUGGUUGACAGGUUGAAUAGCCACGAAAUUUCCCCACCAGGUACUGGCAGGACCACGGAGUUGUUGUGCUGCGAACAACGGCUUCUGUGUCUCGAAACAACGGAGAAGACCAAACUUUUGUUCAAUAACCCGAAUCCACUCAUCAGCUUCUAGGGGAUCUUUAGCUUUGACGAAUAGGGGUGGACGGGUUUCAGAGAAAUCCAAAUAAGUAGUUUCACGGGGGCCAUGCGGAUAACCCCUUCCUGCCUGCUGCUGGAAUUGCUGCUGACCCGCCAUUUCCCUAAGGAAGCGGGUAUUGUCGGCGGUGGCAUUCACCAAGGCGGCAAUCGCCUCGGCUAACGUGGGAGGAACCGGAGGUGGGUUUGGGGGUAACAUCCCUUCCCCCAGAAGUUCCGGCUGUGUCCUGUCCUCGAGUCCUGGUCGGCAUCUGUGGCAAAGAACAUUUGAAGUAAACAUAAUGUGCCAGAGAAAACCUUCCAUUUUACAUUACUAUAAAAAGUAAUGAUACAGACUCGAUAUUACAUAACAGGAUACAUUACCCAUUAUACAAAAGUUCAACCUAUUAUACAACAGUACACCCUACAAUACACUACUCUACUUCUAUUACACCAUUAUUCCUGCUUGCCAUUACUCUUGGCGGCCUCAUCGUCAGGUGUGGGAGUCCAGACAUCAACCAACCUCAAAGAAGGAGGGGGCUCAAAAAGGUCUAACUCCCCACCCAGCGCACGUCCCGCAACGUGAGAUGGUCCGGCUUCCGCCUCAGCAGGGUGUGUAGGCUCACUAGGGUGUAACUGUGAGUAUAAUAUAUGGACUUCCUCAUGCAACGUAUUGCAGUAAACCUGCAGGUCAUCGACAGUCGAGCUAAGUUCUUUAAUUCGGGCCUGAGCCCUUGCUUCCUUAGCACAUAUUAGCAAACGAGACUGUACAGCCCAGUUAAGUGCUAAGUCUCGAUCAGCGAGCUGAUCCUGCAGAUGUCGGAUGUCCCUUCUCAGUUCAUUGAUUCUAUCUCCGUCAGCGACCCAAGCAUCGGUCCUAUGUUGCAGUGCUGCUUGAAGUCGACUCACACGGGCUUCAAGAUCUCCGAUGGGGUCGUUACUUCCACUACUGCUGCUUUCAUGUCGGGGAGCCAAUUGAUGCCGAGGCACCCCAAUUGGUCCCGUAGACUUGCGUGCCGUUAGCCUGGUUCGUGGCGGCAUCUUUUCUAAGGGGGAAAAUGUUAUUAAUAUGAUUCUUAGCAUGAUGCAUGUAUAAUUACAGAAUCAACCUUACUCGAUUCAACCUUCUAUACAUUGCACUCUUCCUAUCUGGUCUUUAAAAUAGACUCUUCAGAAUACUUAGGUAAGAAGAGAAAAGAAUUUUUAGGUAAGACUUUUGAAAAUCCUUUUGAAGAUGCCUCAUAAUAUCUGCAAAGAAGGGCUACGCUCCGAUACCAGCUGUGACGGAACCUCCCAAGUAAUUAGGCCCACCUACAGUUGUCCUUGUCUAACAGACAUCAGACACCCUGUAGAUGUUCCUAAGUUACUUGACAAGCUCGGUAUCUUUCCUUACCUCACCAGGAACGUCUCACCCGUCUUGCAGACAUUACAGAACAUCGGAGAUAAAGAGAUGCGGAAGCAAUUACAUAAACUUACAUUUAUUUCAAAAGCAAGCUUGAGUUAUUUUAUUACAGACCAGAACUAAAAAGCGAGUGCAGAGUAGUAAUAUUAUACAAACCAAGGGAGGUACAAACUCCUCCCGAUAAGCUAUAAGUAAAAGAUCCUAUGUGGAGGACCGAGUCCUCCCGCACUUCAGUCUUGUUUUUCUUCUUUUGGAACCACCUUGGCACAGAAGCAGCAAAAGUCUGCUACUUCCUCACCUAAAAACAACGAAGGGAUAAACCCUGAGUAUGGAAUUACUCAGCAAGUCUUACCCGACUAAAGAAAAGACUCUCAAGGGUAUGCUGGUUGUAUGGGAGUCAAGGUAAGGCUUUUCAAUAAUCAAAGACGCUGUUUUGCAGAAAUGCUUACUAAAGUGGAUCCUUAAAAAUCCAAUUUUAUUUGUCAAGUUAAGUAAAAUUACCUGCACUAGAGUUCUUUCUACCCUAGUUCAAUCACUGGUCCUGCACUAGCCAAUUUCUUAACAAAAGCUCAUCGUCUUUAGUGGAAUGCUACGUGUAGGGCAGUGACCAAGUCUUCAUAACCGCGAAGGUACGGCGAUCCGAAUCGAUUAUACUCAGCUGAGGAUCUCCAAUCACACGACAUAUGUAGCACUUAACCCUUGCAUAUGUCAACCCGCCACCGGGGUUCUUAAGACCGGAUCAGGUUCACGCAAACCAAGAGCACAGAUACACCACCGUCCAGCCUCUUGCCACGGAGGGUACACGCUACUCUCGCCACCGCUCCACGCCCAUUUCGUGUUAUCUUAUUCCGACCUUAGUCUGCCCGAGGCAAGGCUUACCCAUGACGAGGCAUGUGACCAGUUAAAGGGUCCUCGAUCAUCAAGCCUACAUCGACAAGGUCCUUAAUCGACUCAGACAGAGACACUACACCGAGACUCUCUUCUCGUGCAAGUCACCCGCCCGGUCUCAACUUAAUUAUUUCAAACCCAAAGUUUGGUACCUGGCAGAGGUACAUCUUUUCCGAUGUUGAACCUAUCAAGGCCUUUGAUAGAUCCAUCAUCAAGUUUUAUUUUCGAAAAACAUCCCACCCACUUUUGCCACAUCAUAUUUUGUAAAAACAAAACCUUUUGUUUUUCUAAAGCCAAGCUAAGCAUCAAAAAGCUUUUGUAAAACAGGUGAUUAAGGAAGGUAAUCCAAUUCAAGGAAGGUAAUGCAGGAUUGGUUUUAUCAAGCAACUCCUAUCACCUAAUGCAGCAAUCAAGUGAGAAAGAUUUUAAAAUAGCAAGGAAGGUGGCAAAUGCACCGGGGCUUGCCUUCGUUUACAGGUGAUUCGGGUUCGGAUCCACAGAUAUCGAAGUAGAAACUAUUGCCUGCUUGUGAAUCCGAAGGAGGUGGUGUCCUGUCUUCGGUGACUUCUAUCUCUUCUUCACGUUCUAAUCAUAACCAUACAUAAGUAUAAGAAUGGAUGCCAUGGGAUGCUCAUGAGGAUGCAAAUAUAAACUUAUUAUCUAUGUCUUGAAUACAACUUUCCUUCACGGAGUUCCGGGAACUUAGGGUUUCCGGAGUCGGUAAAGGAGUUCAUAGGGCAGGGGGGGUGUUUUGGGGUUUGGUGAUCAAACAAGGUCCAAAUCAAUUCAAAUCCUACCCAAGGCUUCUAAAUAUUAUGAGGAACUCAUAUAAAAAUUUUGAGCAUUUUUGGAAUUACCAUUUGUUUUCUAAAAAUCCAUAACCAACAUUUUUAACCACUUUAAAUACCCUAAAAUUUCUUAUUUCCACUAAAAAUCACAAACUUAUUUUUACUAAAUUCUAGGGAAAAUAACAAGCCUAGGAAAAUUAGUUUCACAAUUUUAGCAUUUUUCUACAUUUUUCUACAUAUUUCUAAAGCUCUGCUGAAAAAGAAAAAGGAAAAGGAUUAAAUAGAACUGGGCCGGUUCUGGCCCAGACGGCCCAGGUCCAAGGCAAAACGCGCCCGCGCGCGCCCGCGCCCUGGCGGCUUUGCAGAAAGGGCCCCGAGUUUUUGACUAACUGUGAACGAGUUCAGUUACUAUUUGUAUCAGUCACUGACAAAUUGCACCGGGGCCCCUGAGGUUCUAUUUCUCCACAGGUGAGGUCCCUGACGACGGCAGCGCACGGAGGAGCUCCGGCGAGCGCGUAGACCGGCCGAGCGGGGCCACGACCGGUGCUCAGCUGCGGCCUAAACCAAAUUCACAACCUAGCGAAUGUUUCCCCUAGGUUAAUUUGAAGAAUGGUGCCCUAAUAUGCCCUGACCACGGCAACCGUGAGUAUUGCGGCUAGGUGGUCGCGUUCCCGGCGACCAGAGGAUUCUCAAUCCAAUUGCAUGCGUCGGUGAGUUUGAGGGAAGCUUAAGGAUGCUAAAACGAGAUUAGAGAGGGCGUGAUCGGACCUGGAGAGGGCUGGCCACGACGAGCUUGGGUUCACGACGUUCUUCAACCGGUUUGGGGGAAAUUCCAAAUUCAAGUUCUCUGGUGGGGGGUUUGGGAUGCAGGUGGGUGCAGUAGAUGCUUGGAUGCAUGGCGGAGCUGGGGGUACUGUCAAUUUAUAGCGCCCGCGGGCGGUGGUGCUCAAUUUGGCCGAGCCACGCGGCGGUCGGAGGUGAAGAAGAAAUCACUGGCCUCGUGAGUUCGUGGCCAACGGCGUGGCAAGCUCACCGGCGUCGAUGGGACAGCCUUAAGGUGUCACCGCGGUGCGGUGGAAAGGCUAAGCCACGCGGCACAUGGCUGGGAGGCGGCGGUCAUCGGCGAGGUAAUCCACUCAGCCGCAAAGAGGGAGAGAGGGCCACGGGGGUCACCGGAGUGAUCGCCAGCGCACGGGCGGUGAAGAUCUUUUACCCCGCAAGGUUAUCCAUUUGCUAUGAGCGCGAAUCCGGACGGCGGCAGCAUGAAUCACGGCGGAGGGAGCCGUCGGCGGUGAGGACAGCCGCGCUGGCGGUCUGAUCCCUAUUGAGCACUGUACCAUGGCAGUCACCAAUUCAGAGCGACUGACAGAGCACAUUGGAGCAUCAUUUUCUCUGAUUUUCAGAUGGCAACACACCCAGUGAUCUAUAGCAAAGUUGUAGUGCUAUAAUCCAUCUAUAUCUUUGCUAUAAUGUGUACUCACAAAAGGUCACUGGAUCCCCUUCAAAAUCGAGCUCAAAGUUCAUGUCAUAACACUGUUAAUCUGCAUUUCAGACUUCAGGCAGCCUGACAGUCCAUCUUUGAUUGGGUUUUUCUCCAAAUUUCACAUAAGACCAUGGCUUGAACCCUUAAACAAAGUUGUUCUCCCAUGAUUGAUCUUCAACUUUGAUGUGGUCACCUAACAUGAAUUCUCACUAUUUUGGAAGCUACACAGCCCCAAAGUUGGGCCUACAACCCUGUUUUCAGACUUAGCAUAGGACUCAAAUGAGGUCCAUUUUGCAUUUAAGUCCAAAACUUAGGGUUUGGCUUUCAAGUCCACAUGUUUGUGAACCAAAUGACUUAAAAUACUUAUUUAGCUUGGUUUUUGCACUUUAGCCCAAAAGUGGGCUAAUUUUGCACAUAAGCCCCUAGGGUUUGGUUUUAGGGUUUUCCAGGGUUCCAAUUAGGGUUUCUGGUAUUCCAGGGGUAUAAAAGUGAUUCAAGUUUAUUCUUGGGGUCAUUUUAUGACUUUUACCCUAAAGCUUUUAGGUUUUCUCAACUUGGGUUAGGUUUUACCCCUUUAAUCCCUAUUUAGGGUUAAGUCCUUUAACCAGGGUCCUAUUUGCAAAACACUUAAACAAUACAACUUGUUUGAAAUUUUUGCCUAGUGAAUGCACUCUAGGUGUGUCAAACAUAUGCAAUGCCAAUGCUAUGAUGCCAUGCUCAAGUUUUAGUUACAGUAACACCAGGGGUGUUACAAUGAAAUCCCCCUUUAUUAUAAGAAUUUGUUCACAAAAAAUUGACUCUUGCAAUAUAUAGACUAAGUUGCCCCUAUAUUUAUGCAUACAUAUGAUGAAUAGCAAACCAUAUGCAUAACAGAGGAAUGAAUUGAAAGAAUGUGGAAGUUUAACCUAUAUAAUGUACGAAUAAAUCAUGUAAGAGAUACCAAAUGAUCUGAAAAUAAUAUGCAUGAUAUUAAAGUUGAUACUAGUAUGUAUGAUACCAAUUGUUGUAGAAAUCUUGAAAUAUGAAACAUGUUGCUUCUCCAAGAACUCUAAUUUCAUUUCAAAUGAGAGUAAUACACAUGAUAGGCUUGAAAUAUGUGUUAGUUUUAAAGAUACCAACUUUUAGAGUGACCUCAACCUAAAAGUGUGCGUACAAGUUUUAAAUACUUGUCGAAGACAUGCACUUAGACUUUUAUCAAAAAUUACCACUUGAAGGAUAUUUUCACUUGAAUUUGGUAAUAUAUAUAUAUUUUAAACUAAGGCACCUUUUUGUCUCCUAGUAAAUCCUAUGCAAUAAAUAAACUACCUUUGUACAACUAUCUCUAUCACAAAGAGUUAUACAACCUAGGUUAUGAAUCUAUCAACUAAGCUAGGAAGGUAAAGCACACAACAAAGGUAAACAAUAUAAAUGCAGAAGAUUAAGUGCAAUUGAGAUAAAACUCCCAUUAUUGCCUCUGGUAUUUUUACCAAGAUAUUGAUAAGCACACAAGCUUCACUCUAAUCCUUGUUAGAUCCCUUGCAAGGAUGCCCAUACGAGACUGUAAAAGAAAACCCAAAUUAAAAGCUUCCUAAGAGCAGCUUGUCUACCAAUUUCACCAUGGCUGCUAAUUUAAAAUCUAACUUAAAAACAAUUUAUCCUUUUUAUGACAAUGAAGUAUUAUGGUGAUCAAUCGAGAACACAUAUUUAGGAUUAAAGAUUCUCUAUGAAGGAGGACCUCUACUCUAAACUCAUCGUCUAUUUUCAAUCGGGUAACUCCAUGGAUAGCCUUGUCUUUUUCUAUGCGCAACUAGUGCGCCAUUGUAGUCUCUCUUGGAUGCUCUUUGCCAUCUUCACUAUCGUGUUUUUGGCCAAAUCAUCAUUGGCCUCGUUUCGUUCAUGCACUUUGAUUGAUCUAAGUAUUGAUGUUUAUUUCCUAAUAAUAAAGUAUCUUGCCUUUUAGUUCAAUGCAAUAACACUUUUGUUUUAAUGCUAUUGACAAAUGAUAGGUAAUAAGAAUGAAGGAGGAAGUACUCGCUGUGGAUAGGACAGUGGCAAUUCAAGAACAACUUGUUGGGUUUUAAAUAAAGAGGUCAUAUCUAAAUAAUGAGAGUUUCAUCAUGGUGGACAAACGCUUCAACACACGGCCGAUGAACAAGAUUCAUAUUAAGAUCAUAGUGUGGAUACAGUAGUUAGACAACUUCAUAGACAUUUAUGUACAUAUCCGUUUGUUUAUAUAUAUAUAUAUAUAUAUAUAUAUAUAUAUAUAUAUAUAUAUAUGAAUCAACACAUGCAUAUGUGUCUAUGUUCAUUAUAUAUAUAUAGUUUAUGUAUUUGAAGCCCUAGGCUUUCACUAACUAAAGAAAGCCCUAGUCUAAUGAUACCUCUCGUCGAACCGCACCACCCCAAUUCUUUCCCAUUGAACCGCAACUCGGCUACCUUUCGGUUCAAUCGAUACCCGUUCCCGAGAACCCUAUACCAUGUCGCGCACCACCUUUACUUGUUCCAUUAUUCGUGGCCCCAUCUGCUCCCCAGUCUUUCCAAAUGGAACUCCUCGAUCCACGGCGACGGCAGCGAUUGGACUCUCGCCCGCUCCCCAGCCGUAGUCCAUGGCAGCAGUGGCGGCAUGCCCGAAAGCGCCUCCCUAAGAAGGGCCUCCCCAAUAGUUACAGGAAGUGCCUCCCCAAGAAGAGAAGCAGUGGCGGCAUGCCUGACGAUGAUGGGCUCGAUGACUUAGGGUUGGAGGCAAGCGCAUGCACUAGCUCGAUGACUUUAGGUAUAUUGGGAGCCCAGGGCUUCUAAUAGUUACAGGAAGCCCUAGCCACCCAAUGGUCCGCGCCCAACAACUAGGUACGUGCAGUGGGGCGCGUCCCGCUGGCAUGCACCGGCCAAACCUUCCCACGCGCGUCAGUCAAACCUUCCGGUCUCCUACGUGGGACAUAAGCCAUAAAUUAAUUGUGGUUCUGUGUUUUUUUGCAAAUAGCGUAAAUAGUUUACAUAAAUAGUGUAAAUAGUUCAUAGAGAUAGCAUAAAAACCUCGCCCAGACACUUAGUUCAUAGAGAUAGCAUAAAACCUCGCCCAGACACUGGACCAUGUCCAUAUGCGCACGCGCAUGCAUGCAGAUCAGAUCCAAAAAUUAUGGCAGGUCAUGGGAGUUUCCAUUGCAUCUACGCAAAUUUUAGAUGACAUUUUCGUUUCCACUGCAUGCGCGCAAAAAUGGAUGGCUCCAUAAAUAUAGGAUUGCUCCAACAGUCAUGUAGCUAGGCUCGUUAGAACCAGCUUAUGAUAUAUACUGAUAGUAAUUAUGCUACAGAGUGUAUGCAUUUAUUCAAAUCGGUACAUUGCGUAAAAAAUUGUUUGCUGCUGCAUGCGCACAAAUUUAGGAUGACAUUAAUGUGCGAUGAAAGGACAUGGAUUGGCAUACAUAGAAACAAAAAAACUUAUUCAAAUGCUUUAUUUCCUCCAUAAAUAUAGGAUCGCUCAAACAACCAUAUAGUUAGUUUCGUUAGAACCAAUUUAUGAUAUAUAUUGAUAGUAAUUAUGCUACACGGUGUAGGUUUUUAUGCAAUACGGUACAUGCGUAAAGAUCUGGCAUGUAGUUCACUGGUGGACGGAUCUCCAUGUUCAAGCGUAAAAUUCUUUGGUUUUGAGCGUAAACACAUACAGUUAUAAGCGUAACUAUUGAUCCAACAUUCAUGUGGUUCCUUUUUUAAUGUAGAUCCGAAAAUUAUGACAACCACUAGGCAGAUGCUUGUGGUUCCUAUUUUUAUGUAGAUCCGAAAAUUAUGGCAGGUCGUGGGAGUUUCCAUUGUAUGCACACAAAUUUUGAAUGUCAUUUUUGUUCCCACAGCAUACACACAAAAAUUGAAUGGAUGGUAUCGAGCAAAGCAUCAAUCGUUAUAAAAAUUUGUAUAAAUACAUACAUCGUACAUCAUAAUUAAUAAAAAAACAACCCUAGUAUAGACUAAACCAAUAGUCGCAUGCAUAAACAAAGGAUUGGAGGAGGUCGUCGCCGAAUGAUGCCGUCGAGACCACCAGAUUAGAGGAGUUGGUCACCAAAGAACGCCCGAACCAUCGUAUAGAUUACUGACCCUCGCAGCCUGCGCCUCAAGCGACGUCGUCGCCAUCAGAGCCACCCGCGGCUCAUGUGGCCGACGCUGCAGGAGACACCCAUGCCUCGCGCGACCGCCAGAGGGGGCUGUCACACCCAGUUUUGGAAGGCAAACCGAAUGUGAACCAGGAUUAGAAACUCACAUACAUAGCGAUUACAUAAUUGGACACCAUCACACAUUGCUCAAAGUAAAUAGAGAAAAGGUACUUUAUUACAUCAAGAUGCCUAAAACAUCCACAGAUUCAUUACUUAACAUAGUCAUUAACAUUAUUAAAGUGCGGAAAAGCGAACGUAGCAGAUAAGGCCUUCACAUGUAGCUGACUAGGGUUUGCCACUAACAUAACUAGAACUCGUCGUAGUCCUAGAACUCCUCAAAGUCCUCCAUAUUGUCUGCAUCUCCUCCUGAGCACUGAAUACAGUGGGGACAACCUAGGGUGGGGGUGGUUUUUAAAGCAAGGGUGGGUACACAUUAAUGUACUCAGCAAAUGUCCCGUUUGGCUAAAGUGGACUAGCUAUAUGUGGAGUUAAGGUUAAGAAGUUGCUUUUAGUUGGUUAAGUAUUUAUUACUAAUUGUAUAGCCAAGUUUUAGUGAUAAACCUAGUUAUUACCCAAAAGUACUCCCUUUAAGAGGAAAUACCAGAGAUCAGAAUCAUAAUCAUCAAUAAUAAUCAUCAUCAUAAAAGUAUCCAAUGUUCUUCUAAUCAAAGAGGAUCCCAAGGCUGCUCUUAAUCGUGAGCAUGGCUGAUAUACCAGUUUCUAACACUCUGCAGAGGUUGCACACUUUACCCACGAGUCGUGAUCCCUUUCCAGCCUAGGUUGUACAGACCUGAUCUUGACUACCGAGGUGAAUGGCCAGGGAUACACUACGUAGCCUUUACAAAGAUUCCCUAGAGGUCAUAGUCGCCCGUUAGGUUUCUCCAGUUUGAUAAACAUAGUACUUCUCCCCACAGGAAGGGUGACUAACAAAACCAAAUCGAAAGAACCUCGGCAGAGCAAGUACUGUGCCCGGACCCCAUUGAUGGCCCUACGGCAAAGCCAACUACACCUCAAGUUCCUCUAAUUAAUCAUCUAAGGGCAUCCCAUUCCACCCUCAUGGUUGCACUAUUAUCCCGGGUGGUCACUCAACAAACAGGUCCUUAUGGAGAGGUACUCAUGAAACAACCUAAGUCCCCUAAAGUAUCACAAGAUCAUCAUCGGGAUAACAUCAUCGUAUCAUAAAUAUUCACACCAUGUUCGUUAAUUAAGCUAAAGCAAUAGUAUAAAGCUAACCAUGAUAACCCAAAAGGUAAACAAGGGUAAGGUAAAUACAGACUAAUCGAUCCUUAGGUUUCAAUAAAGUAAUACAGGAUGUUGAAUUAUAAAGUAAGUAGGACAUAAUGGGUCAGAGGACACUUGCUUUCACCAGGUUGUUGCUCAAGAAGAUCUUCGGCAAUACACUCAGGAACCACGGGCUGCUCAUUGUCUAAACAAAGCGAUCAUGCAUUCAAUACAUUUGGAUAAAGACAAAUGAAUAAUACACCAAACAUAUACAACCAAGUGAGCACAAAUUUGACAGAGCAGUGUGAACACAAAAGGACAACUUAGGUGCUAGGGUGAACUGGCACACUUAGAGGUUUGUGAUUCCCUAAAUAUUAUCUAUCUCCAUGGAUUACAUAAUUUAAUUCCACUAAUUUUUAGUAAGACACAAAAUUAUAACAGGGAUAAAUUCAUACAUUACAUAUUAUUAAUCUCACAAGGUUAAACAUCUAAUUACCAUCAGGUUUUUUAUUUUAUUUUCUUAUUUAAUAAACAAACUAUUACAUAUACUAACCUAUAGUCUAGGCAUAAAAUUAACAUGUGUAGACCAUGAGUGAUCAUAAUUUAUUUGGACAGACAAUAAUCCUAUGAACAUUUUGCAAUUUGAAUCACUCAAUUUGGAGUUCAUAUGCAAAAGAUAUGAAAUAAACAAAUUUUGAAGUUUAAAAUACAAAAUUAGGCCUAAAUCUAUGAUUAAUUAAAAUGUCAGGGGUCUGUCUGCAAGAUUACAGGGGCCUGCGUGCGAAAACCAGGGACGGCGGGUUGUUUUCCGGAAAACUGAGGGUUUCUUUAGCAAAGCGGCUGUGCGAAGGGGUAUCGGAUCUGCUCAGCCGUCAGAUCCACGAUCAACGGCCGAGAUUAGAUUCGAGCGCGAGCGCGAGCGCGCGCGGCGAGCGCUGAGAGGUAGGCUCGGGGGGGGGGGGGGGGGGGUUGAGGCACUGACACGCGGGGCCCACGGGUCAGUGGUAUGCCGAUGGCGCGGGGCGCGCUGGCCACUGGAUCGCAGAUCGACGGCUCUAGUUCCACGAACCGCGCGAACCGUUAUCCGCGAAUCUAGGUCGUUAGAUCAGGACUGGGCGGUUAGGAUGGGCACUAGGGGGCUUCACCUUCUCCGACCCUGCCAGGGGCAGCGCCAUACGCGGACUCAGCGGCGAGGCAGACCGGGGCUCCUAGGGCAAUAGGGUUUGGUAUGGGUAGCCAGAGAGGUUGGGGAGGAUUCGGCGAAUCCUUUGGCAGGGUCGAAGUUGCAGGAAUGGGGCUGAGGCGACCAGACGACGGAGGGGAAGUCCUCGGUGGAUCGGGGGUUACUCCGGCGAGCAAUUGCGCGCAACAAAGGGCAAGCCAGGGGAAAUUAGAGGCGGGGUUAGAUCAGUUACCUUGAGAGAAUGCUCAGGGACUCACGAACGGCGUCCAGGGCACGGCAUGGGCACGGGUCGACGGCGGCGGAGCUGCGGCAGGGCAGAGAGGACAGGUAAGCAUGGACCGAGAGAAACAGAGGGGGAGGGAACGAACCGAGGGGUGUCCCGGGUCGCGGGUGAUGAGGCAAAGCUCACCGAGGCAACAGACACGGCAAGGGCUCGAUGGCGACCGUAGAAUGGGCACGAGACCACGGCGAACGGCGGCGAAGCUUCCUAGGUGCGCGCGCAGAGCGAGAGAGAGGGCGAGGGUGCUCCGUGCUCGGCUGGGGGCACAACUGAGCGGGGGAGGGCGAGUGAGUGUGGACGGGCUCCAGAAAAGGCUCGGGCGUGUGGGGGCGUGGCCGGGAAACGAGCGGUCGUGGGCGAGUCCACGGAGGAGAGCGCGGGCGGCUCGAGGGGGGGACGGUUCUGACAGGCGGGGCCCACAGGACAGAGAGAGAGCGUGCAAGCGAACGAGCUUCAGUGCUGACGAGCGGGGCCUGCGGGACAGAGAGAGCAAGCGCGCUUGCGCAGAGAGAACUGGCGCCGACAGGUCGACCCCACCGGGCAGCGAGAGGGAGAGAGGGAAGAGAGAGCGGGCGCGGGAUGACGCUGACAGGCGGGGACCGCUUGUCAGGGAGGGGCGGACGCACGGACGCGGGAUGACUGGGCUGAAAUGGGCUUGCUGGGCUAGAAUUGGUUUCCCUUUUUCCUAGAAUUUCUAAUUGCUUUUCUUUUUAUUUUCUCUAUGAAUUUCAAAUCAAAUUCAAACCCCAAAUCAAAUUCAAAUAAUUUCAAACAUGUGCAUCAAACAAAAGAAUAAUUUAGGCUCAACAUGAUGCAACAAUUCAUGACUCACAUAGUUUUGACAAAGUAAAUAAUUAAUCCCUCACUUACUUAACCUAAUUCUACUCAAAAGGAAAAGAGAGAGAGAGAGAGUCUAGAGGGAGAGACAAGAGGUAACACCUGAAUUUGGUAGGCAUUUAGAGAAGAAAUUUUAUACCCCCAAAUUUAGGGUGUUACAGGGGCCAUCACUGUCGUGCGCACGUGGGGAGCCCUCACACGAGUCUGUGUCCGCUCGCUCCUCCCUGGGCUGAGGUCGGCACUCGCUCCUCCGGGGCCACCAUCGCCGCUGCUCGCGCCUCGAGUAACCACCGCCGGCGAGUGAGGUGGCGCGCGUAGCUCGCUUGCGCCUCCCCAGGCCGUGGCCGGUGCCUGCGCCUCAUGGGCUGUCGGCACCGCUCGCGCCUCUCGGGCCGUCAUCGCUGCUCGUUCUCGGGGAACUGUUGUCGUCGCUCGUGCGUCAGGAUGGUGGCGUCAAAAAAUAAACUCUAGAGGUCUGGAACUGCUUUUAUAGACGUUGGGACCUGGUUGGGUUGGAACGUGUUGCCUAGCGUCUAGCAUGUGUUUCCUCUAGUUAUUGAAAACCCAUAUAUAUUGACUUUAGUACCAAUUUGUGAUUACAACCGGUGCUAAUGUUUCAACUUUAGUACGGCUCUAGCCAAGAACCGAUACUAAUAGGGGACCUUUAGUAACGGUUCUAAGCAAGAAUCGGUACUGGAGUACUAUCUUUAGUACCAGCCAGUGCAACCGGUAAAGUUGCGGGCUUUUAGUGUCAGAUGCGGGCUUUUAGUUUAACUUUCGAUCAAUACAAGUAAAAAAAAUUCAGUUGCAGUUCUCAAAAGAAAUAUUUUUUGUUAGUACAAAUUAGAUCAAAAUUAAGGUGAAAUCAGAUGCUCUCAGUGUUGUACAGACUACAUACACAGUGCUGGUCGCGGGAAAAAAGAUCUUCUAUAUUUGUGAUCGGGUGUCAUCACUAAAUAUAUACAUGCAUGUUGUGCAAAUAACACCAUUUUACUUGAUAAACUUGUUUGAUUUCACAGCCUUGAAGAGAACGAAAAACACUCUACAUAAUGUUGAUGUAUGGAACGUAUAAACAAACAUAACAGGCGCGGGGUAAUUAGAUAAUUAAACUUGACUAGUAGUGUGGGUUGACGGCGAAGCACUUCUCCCUGAUCUCUCCCUCGUCGCCGGUGAGCACCUGGACCUUGCCCAUCUUAACCAUGGCCUUGGCGAACUUGACCUGCCAUGCCUUCUCGACUGCGGCGUUGAAGUGGACCAUUCCGGCCGUCCAUGGGUUGUCGAGCAGUGUGUUGUCGGAGAUGAACAGGACUUUGUGCGCCAGCACGUUCUUGUAGUACUGGUUGUCGAAGGUCGCCGGCGUGACUGGGUCAAGCGGCACCACCGUGGGGUCCAUCUGGUCGUCGCUGGACGGCCAAGGGCACCGUGCCUUUAGGUGCCCGGCGUAGGCGGGGUCGAGGGACGGGUCUGUCUGCCCCAGCUGCCCGCUGAAGUUGUAGAGGCGCUGCGUGAAGGAGGAGCAGUGGGAGCGGCCGAUGGUGUGCGCGCCAGAGAGCGUGACCAUGUCGUCGGCGUUGAGCCCCU
rnacentral:lncRNA from 1 species